AUGGUGUAUAGGUUUCUAAUAGAUUUUCGUGAUAUUCUGCACUAUGACUAUUCGGAUACGGACAAUCUUACGGAAAGCCAAGUGAGCAGAGCACAUAUGCAGAUAUUGAAGUCGCAUAUAAAUGUCUUGAAGAGAGCUAUGGUACAAAACAGAAGAUAUCAUCCUCUAUGGUCAAUCUGUUGGUAGUGGCCCCACUUUGGAUCUAGCACUUCAUUGCCUCGGUUAAGAGUCAUUGUUUUGCACAUCCCAUACUUUCGGUUUAAGAGUAAUGUAUCCUGUAAGCGUACAUAUUGGUUUGACAUUUAUAAGAAUAUUGAUAAAAUUCCACUUGUCAAUUGUCCGGUUCUUAUCAUUCAUGUAAGUUUGGAUGAAGUUGUUGAUUGCUCCCAUGGAAAGCAACUUUGGGAACUAUGCAAAGAGAAGUAUGAACCUCUAUGGCUUAAAGGAGGAACCACUGUGAUUUAGAGCGAGACCACAGUAUAUAAGACAUCUCAAGAAGUUCAUAUCAACUGUUGAGAAAUCUCCUUCUCAAAGGUACAGUUCUAGGAGAAGCAUGCACCAAUUUGAGCGCCUCGGAAAAGUAUCGAUGCAUUUGAGGUUUCAAGGAAGAGUCUUGAUCGAAGGAGAAACCAAGGAAGAGCAAUCGACAGCCUGAGAAGUUGAAAACCAGUCUAAUAAUUUGGAUAAGCUAGAAAAGCUAAGAAUCUCUUUCGAUCAAUUGGAAAAGUCUCAAGGAGUGUGGAUUGCCAUGAGAAGUCCGGAAAACGUUGACCAUCGGUUGGAAAGAGCUCACAAAAGUGUUGAUCUGUUGGAUAGAAUACUAACAGGUGAUGAUACUACUUUUGUGUAA